GAUGAACGCUGGCGGCGUGCUUAACACAUGCAAGUCGAACGAUGAAGCCCAGCUUGCUGGGUGGAUUAGUGGCGAACGGGUGAGUAACACGUGAGCAACCUGCCCCUGACUCUGGGAUAAGCGCUGGAAACGGCGUCUAAUACUGGAUAUGUCCCGUCACCGCAUGGUGUGCGGGUGGAAAGAUUUUUCGGUUGGGGAUGGGCUCGCGGCCUAUCAGUUUGUUGGUGAGGUAAUGGCUCACCAAGGCGUCGACGGGUAGCCGGCCUGAGAGGGUGACCGGCCACACUGGGACUGAGACACGGCCCAGACUCCUACGGGAGGCAGCAGUGGGGAAUAUUGCACAAUGGGCGGAAGCCUGAUGCAGCAACGCCGCGUGAGGGAUGACGGCCUUCGGGUUGUAAACCUCUUUUAGCAGGGAAGAAGCGAAAGUGACGGUACCUGCAGAAAAAGCACCGGCUAACUACGUG
rnacentral:rRNA from 1 species